rnacentral:rRNA from 1 species
GAUGAACGCUAGCGGGAGGCCUAACACAUGCAAGCCGAGCGGUAGAAAGUAGCUUGCUACUUUUGAGAGCGGCGUACGGGUGCGUAACACGUGUGCAACCUGCCUUUAUCUGGAGAAUAGCCUUUCGAAAGGAAGAUUAAUGCUCCAUAACAUAUUGAAUGGCAUCAUUUAAUAUUGAAAGCUCCGGCGGAUAGAGAUGGGCACGCGCAAGAUUAGUUAGUUGGUGAGGUAACGGCUCACCAAGGCGAUGAUCUUUAGGGGGCCUGAGAGGGUGAUCCCCCACACUGGAACUGAGACACGGACCAGACUCCUACGGGAGGCAGCAGGGAGGAAUAUUGGACAAUGGGUGAAAGCCUGAUCCAGCCAUCCCGCGUGAAGGAUGACGGCCCUAUGGGUUGUAAACUUCUUUUGUAUAGGGGUAAACCUACCCUCGUGAGGGUAGCUGAAGGUACUAUACGAAUAAGCACCGGCUAACUCCGUGCCAGCAGCCGCCGUAA